rnacentral:rRNA from 1 species
AACGGCCAUGCCAUGCUGAAUAUACCGGUUCUCAUUAGAUCACCGAAGUCAAGCAUCAUUGGGCGCGGUCAGUACUUGGGUGGGUGACCACCUGGGAACACCGCGUGCCGUU